CACGGAGUUAGCCGGUGCUUAUUCAUAAGGUACCGUCAAGUGAGAAAGAAUUCCCUUUUUUCGUCCCUUAUAAAAGAAGUUUACAAUCCAGAGGACCUUAAUCCUUCACGCGGCAUGGCUGGAUCAGGCUUGCGCCCAUUGUCCAAUAUUCCUUACUGCUGCCUCCCGUAGGAGUCGGGCCCGUGUCUCAGUGCCCGUGUGGCUGAUCAUGCUCUCACAUCAGCUACUGAUCGCAGGCUUGGUGGGCCAUUACCCCGCCAACUACCUAAUCAGCCGCACACCCAUCAACAAGCGCCGUAGCUAUAAUAUAAAAAUGAUGCCAUCUUUAUAUGUUACGGGGUAUUAAUCCAAAUUUCUCUGGGCUAUUCCCCACUUGUAGGAAGGUUGUGUACGUGUUCCGCACCCGUUUGCCGGUCGCCGCCCAUGUAUUGCUACACUGCGCUGCCCCACGACUUGCAUGUAUUAAGCCUGCCGCUAGCGUUCAUCCUGAGCCA
rnacentral:rRNA from 1 species